CCGCUAAAAAUACGAUAGCCCCAUCUUCUGCAAUCAAUAACUCCAUUUGCAAACCGAAUUGCACGCACAGCCACCACAUCAUCUUCAACUGACACCUAAAACCCGCGAGCCUUAUCUUUUUCAAUGCCUGGUCAUCUUUAACUAAUAGCUAAAACCCUUGAGCCUCAUCUUCUUCAACUAGCAGCUAAAAUACGGUAGCCCUAUCUUCUGCAACCAUAGUUGUCGCUAUUCUUUAUUUUUACAACCACAGUUGUCGUUAUUCUUUAUUUCUAGAUAUGGAAGAUUUAGAUAUAGAAGAUUUAUUUUCUUGGGUUAUGCAACCACAGUUAUAGCUAUUGUUUCAAAAAAAAUAAAUAGAUUUGGGUUCUGUGUUAAGAUCAG
rnacentral:lncRNA from 1 species